GAUCCUGGCUCAGAUUGAACGCUGGCGGCACGCUUUACACAUGCAAGUCGAACGGCAGCACAGGGAGCUUGCUCCCGGGUGGCGAGUGGCGCACGGGUGAGUAAUACAUCGGAACGUGUCCUGUUGUGGGGGAUAACUGCUCGAAAGGGUGGCUAAUACCGCAUGAGACCUGAGGGUGAAAGCGGGGGAUCGCAAGACCUCGCGCAACUGGAGCGGCCGAUGCCCGAUUAG
rnacentral:rRNA from 1 species